GAGUUCAGAGGUGUGCUCCUCCGAUCUCAGUGGACAAGAAGGCUGCUGGAGCUGGCAAGGUCACUAAGUCUGCCCAGAAAGCUCAGAAGGCUAAAUGAAUAUGAUCUCUGAUACCUG